rnacentral:tRNA from 1 species
UCUAUUAAAGUGUCGAUGCACAUAAAAAUUUGAUUUUUAUAGAGAUAUACUAUAUCUAAUAGAA